rnacentral:tRNA from 1 species
GCUUCCUUAGUUUAAUGGAUAGAACAAGCCCCUCCUAAGGGUUAGAUGCUGGUUCGACUCCAGCAGGAAGCG